GCGCGAGUGAUGUCAGCAUCGAGCGCACACUUUAAAAGGCAGGACUUGUUUUCAGAACGGGCAGCGGAGUCCGUGGAAGCAGAGUCCUGGGCUUUGGCUAAGUGGGCUUCGGCGUAAGGGGACUUCGGUAAGGCUGUGUGAUUGCUCGCUGAGGGGAAGAAGAUGAGCAUCUGAUGGUGGACCAGGUCAGGCCCAUCAUGGACGCAGCUCUCCCCACCACUGACGGCAGCUACAGCAAAUGUUGCCUGAGGAGGACGGCAUCUACCCGAUCCGGAACAUGCCCUCGUCUCACAGCUACCAACGAAGGGAGGAACGCAAUAGACGGCCGAUGCUGGAAUCCACAGCAACAGCAAACUGCUGGAGGAACUCAUCAGGUCGAGCAGCACCCGUGGGAGGAAAGACAGUGUUGGCAUUUCAGAUCAAACCCGUGCACGAGGUCUGAAAAUGGAGAAGUGAGACAGCCAAAGAGAGGAAGUGAAGUGGUGGGAAAGGAGU